rnacentral:sRNA from 1 species
UCGAAGCCGAUGCUCCACAGCAAGGGGCCCA